rfam:Oryza sativa Japonica Group DNA, chromosome 4, cultivar: Nipponbare, complete sequence.
AAUAAGUGUAGUUUUGCACGGUUCAUAUACAACGUUUCAUCGUUCGUCUUAUUUUAAAAUUUUUUAUAUGAUUAAUAUUUUUAUUGUUACUAGAUGAUAAAACAUGAAUAGUACUUUAUCUGUGACUAAUUUUUCUAUUUUUUUAAAAAAAAUCAAAUAAGAACGGACGGUCAAACGUUGUAUGGAUUUUCACGGCCGUACUUAUU